UACGGAGGGGGCGAGCGUUAUUCGGAAUUAUUGGGCGUAAAGGGCGCGUAGGCGGCCCGGUAAGUCAAAGGUGAAAUCCCUCGGCUCAACUGAGGAACUGCCUUUGAAACUGUCGGGCUUGAGGCCGGGAGGGGGUAGCGGAAUUCCCAGUGUAGCGGGUGAAAUGCGUAGAUAUUGGGAGGAACACCAGUGGCGAAGGCGGCUACCUGGACCGGUUCUGACGCUGAUGCGCGAAAGCGUGGGUAGCAACGAGG
rnacentral:rRNA from 1 species